CGGUGUGCACUGGUCGUACCUAUCUUGCUGUCGGGGACGCGCUUCUGGCCUUAAUUGGCUGGGACGCGGAGUCGGCGAUGUUACUUUGAAAAAAUUAGAGUGUUCAAAGCAGGCCUAAGCUCUGAAUACAUUAGCAUGGAAUAACGCUAUAGGACUCUGGUCUUAUUGCGUUGGUCUUCGAGACCGGAGUAAUGAUUAAGAGGGACAGUUGGGGGCAUUCGUAUUUCAUUGUCAGAGGUGAAAUUCUUGGAUUUAUGAAAGACGAACUUCUGCGAAAGCAUUUGCCAAGGAUGUUUUCAUUAAUCAAGAACGAAAGUUGGGGGCUCGAAGACGAUCAGAUACCGUCCUAGUCUC
rnacentral:rRNA from 1 species